rnacentral:misc_RNA from 1 species
AGUAAAAGUCGUAACAAGGUUUCCGUAGGUGAACCUGCGGAAGGAUCAUUAAAAAAUUGGACUCCAUUGGUGAGUUCAUUAAUAAUCCCUACCCUUUGUGAAUUUGUUUGUUUGAAUAAUUUUUUUUCCAAAAAAAUUAUUGAAUGUCUUUCCCUGUUUUGGUGGAGCUUGUAAAGUGAAACCAGGCAGGGGAAUGGCAAACAAUAAUUAUUUUUGAAAAAGACCUUUUUUUAAAAUUAAACUUUUUGUAUUCAUUUGUCUAAAAUUAUUUUUAUAAUAUAAAAACAACUUUUGACAAUGGAUCUCUUGGUUCUCGCAACGAUGAAGAACGCAGCAAAAUGCGAUAAGUAGUGUGAAUUGCAGAAUACGUGAAUCAUCGAAUCUUCGAACGCAUAUUGCACUUUUUUAGCUUACUAAAAAAGUAUGUCUGUUUGAGUAUCAGUAAAAUAUUCUCAUAAAAACAUUUAUUUUUUAUGGUUAUGAGUGUUUUACAACGAUAACAAGUUGUUUCACUUUAAAUUCUUUGUUAUCAAAAAAAUCAUUAAAAGCUAAUUUUAAAGAUUUUUUAAAAUUGGAUAAAAUUUUCCCGUAAAAAGGAAUAACCUAAACAAUUUUAAAAAAUUAAAAUUGGUUUGAUUUUUCUUGAUAACAAAGGAAAAAAAACGUAAAAUUAACUUGAUCUCAAAUCAGAUAAGAGUACCCGCUGAACUUAAGCAUAUCAAUAAGCGGAGGAAAAGAAACUAACUAGGAUUCCCUCAGUAACGGCGAGUGAAGCGGGAAGAGCUCAAAUUUGAAAUCUUCAAGGUUUUACCUUGACGAAUUGUAGUUUAAAGAAGUGUUUUCUGUUGGAGUUUUGGUAAAAGUUCUUUGGAAAAGGACAUCAUAGAGGGUGAGAAUCCCGUAUUUGACCAUUAUCUCCAGCUUUGUGAUACACUUUCAAAGAGUCGGAUUGUUUGGGAAUGCAGUCCAAAAUGGGUGGUAAGUUUCAUCUAAAGCUAAAUACUGGCGAGAGACCGAUAGCGAACAAGUACCGUGAGGGAAAGAUGAAAAGAACUUUGAAAAGAGAGUUAAACAGUACGUGAAAUUGUCAAAAGGGAAGCGUUUGACACCAGUGUUGUUUUCUCGAAAAUCAAUUAAAAAAGGCCGGAUUUUGUGUUGUAUUGACUUUAUCAGCUUUCUGCACUUUUUUCUUGUCUUUUUUAAUGCACUUUUCGUUUAACAAGUCAACAUCAAUUUCUUUUGUUGUAAAAGGGUCAUUGGAAGGUGGCUUUCUUUUCGGAGAAAGUGUUUAUAGCCUUUGGCCUCUGCAAUCGGAGAGAUUGAGGUCUGCAGCGUAGAUCCUUCGGGGUUAGAUACAUUUGUGCUAAGUUAUAGCCUUUCAUAGACAACUUGUUGACUAUGAUCAGUCAUGUAGCUUACUCGCUUAUGCUAUUUUACCUACGCUUAGGAUGUUGAA